rnacentral:rRNA from 1 species
GGCUAACGCUGGCGGCGUGUCUUAGCCAUGCAAGUCGAGCGGACUUAUGGGGUAACUUAUAAGUCAGCGGCGGACGGCGGAGUAACACGUAGCUAACCUACCCUCUGGACGGGGGAUAACCUACCGAAAGGUGGGCUAAUACCCGAUGUAGUCAUCCUGUAUAGGGGUGAUGAAAGGUGGGCUUCUGUUUACAAGCUCAUGCUGGAGGAGGGGGCUGCGGCCUAUCAGGUAGUUGGUAGGGUAAUAGCCUACCAAGCCGAUGACGGGUAGCCGGCCUGAGAGGGUGACCGGCCCGAGGGGCACUGAGACACGGCCCAGACUCCUACGGGAGGCAGCAGUGGGGAAUAUUGGGCAAUGCUCGAAAGAGUGACCCAGCAACGCCGCGUGGAGGAUGAAGGUAUUCUAUAUCGUAAACUCCUGUGAGAGCAGACGAAAGACAGAUUAUUAAUCUGGAUGACUGUAUGCUCAGAGGAAGCCCCGGCUAACUACGUG